rnacentral:misc_RNA from 1 species
GAAAUGCGAUAAGUAGUGUGAAUUGCAGAAUUCAGUGAAUCAUCGAAUCUUUGAACGCACAUUGCGCCCCUUGGUAUUCCAUGGGGCAUGCCUGUUCGAGCGUCAUUUGUACCCUCAAGCUCUGCUUGGUGUUGGGUGUUCGUCCCCGUCUCCGCGCGUGGACUCGCCCCAAAGUGAUUGGCAGCCGGCGUACUGGUCCCGGAGCGCAGCACAUGUCGCGCAAACGAGUGCCUUGGUACGGCGGCGUCCAUAAGCCCCUCUCUCACGCUCUUGACCUCGGAUCAGGUAGGGAUACCCGCUGAACUGAAGC